CGGAGCGUGUGGUUAAUUCGAUGCGACGCGAAGAACCUUACCUAGACUUGACAUGACGGUGAAAGGGCUGGAAACAGUCGCCCUCUUCGGAGCACCGCCACAGAUGUUGCAUGGCGUGUCGUCAGCUCGUGUCGUGAGAUGUUGGGUUAAGUCCCGCAACGAGCGCAACCCUCGUGGUAUGUUGCCUAUAUCAUACCAGACUGCCCCCACAAGGGGAGGAAGGUGGGGAUGACGUCAAGUCCGCAUGGCUCUUACGUCUAGGGCUACACACACGCUACAAUGGCCGGUACAAUGCGCAGCCACGGGGCGACCCGGAGCGAAUCGCCGAAAGCCGGUCUCAGUUCGGAUCGCAGGCUGCAACUCGCCUGCGUGAAGUCGGAGUUGCUAGUAACCGCGAAGGGCGAAUUCUGCAGAUAUCCAUCACACUGGCGGCCGCUCGAGC
rnacentral:rRNA from 1 species